rnacentral:rRNA from 1 species
UACAGGGGGUGCAAGCGUUAUUCGGAUUUACUGGGCGUAAAGAGCGUGUAGGCUGUUUGUUAAGUCUGGUGUGAAAGCCCUGGGCUCAAUCCAGGAAGUGCAUUGGAUACUGGCAGACUAGAGUACGGGAGAGGAUGGCGGAAUUCCUGGUGUAGAGGUGAAAUUCGUAGAUAUCAGGAGGAACAACAGUGGCGAAGGCGGCCAUCUGGACCGUUACUGACGCUAAGGCGCGAAAGCGUGGGGAGCAAACAGG